rnacentral:rRNA from 1 species
GACGAACGCUGGCGGCGUGCCUAAUACAUGCAAGUAGAACGCACAGGAUGCACCGUAGUUUACUACACCGUAUUCUGUGAGUUGCGAACGGGUGAGUAACGCGUAGGUAACCUGCCUGGUAGCGGGGGAUAACUAUUGGAAACGAUAGCUAAUACCGCAUAAGAACAUUUACUGCAUGGUAGAUGUUUAAAAGGUGCAAAUGCAUCACUACCAGAUGGACCUGCGUUGUAUUAGCUAGUAGGUGAGGUAACGGCUCACCUAGGCGACGAUACAUAGCCGCCUGAGAGGGUGAUCGGCCACACUGGGACUGAGACACGGCCCAGACUCCUACGGGAGGCAGCAGUAGGGAAUCUUCGGCAAUGGGGGGAACCCUGACCGAGCAACGCCGCGUGAGUGAAGAAGGUUUUCGGAUCGUAAAGCUCUGUUGUUAAGGAAGAAACGAGUGUGAGAAUGGAAAGUUCAUACUGUGACGGUACUAA